UGAAUAUAUCGGUUCUCGUCCGAUCACAGAAGUCAAGCAUCAUCAGGCGCGGUCAGUACUUGGGGGAGUGACCACCUGGGAACAAAGCGUGUCGUU